rnacentral:rRNA from 1 species
UACGGAGGGAGCAAGCGUUACUCGGAAUUAUUGGGCGUAAAGGGCGCGUAGGCGAUUUAACAAGUCUUGUGUGAAAGCCCCGGGCUUAACUCGGGAAGUGCACAAGAAACUGUUGAAUUUGAGUUCCGGAGAGGAAGGCAGAAUUCCAGGUGUAGCGGUGAAAUGCGUAGAUAUCUGGAGGAACACCGGUGGCGAAGGCGGCAUCCUGGACCAACACUGACGCUGAGGAGCGAAAGCCAGGGGAGCAAACGGG